rnacentral:lncRNA from 1 species
AAAACUACUCGGCCCAGUACUCUAUCCAAACUCCCAUUGUCGAACAGCCAAAAUCCCCUUGAAAAUACACCCAAAAUCAUCUCUUUUCUUAGAUCUCAAUAGCAAUCCCAAGAACCCAAAUCCUUGUUCCCGGAUCUCACCAAUAUUACAUCAAAUGUUGAUGCUUACAUGCUAUCUCUUUAGAAAAGUUUCUCUGUUUUAUUUAUCUUAGGUGGCUUGUUUUCUUGAUCACAUACUUAAACAAGG